UCCGGGGUAGCUCAGUGGUCAGAGCAGUCGCCUGUUAAGCGAUUGGUCGUGAGUUCGAAUCUCACCCCCGGAG
rnacentral:tRNA from 1 species